AGCAGUAUUGAACUGAAGAGUUUGAUCAUGGCUCAGAUUGAACGCUGGCGGCAGGCCUAACACAUGCAAGUCGAGCGGAUGAAGGGAGCUUGCUCCUGGAUUCAGCGGCGGACGGGUGAGUAAUGCCUAGGAAUCUGCCUGGUAGUGGGGGAUAACGUCCGGAAACGGGCGCUAAUAC
rnacentral:rRNA from 1 species